rnacentral:tRNA from 1 species
AGCGGAGUAGAGCAGUGGUUAACUCAUCGGACUCAUAAUUCGAAGAUCACAGGUUCGAAUCCUGUCUCCGCAA